rnacentral:rRNA from 1 species
CCUACGGGAGGCUGCAGUGGGGGAUAUUGCACAAUGGGGGGAACCCUGAUGCAGCGACGCCGCGUGGGUGAAGAAGCGCCUCGGCGCGUAAAGCCCUGUCAGCAGGGAAGAAAAUGACGGUACCUGAAGAAGAAGCCUCGGCCAAUUACGUGCCAGCAGCCGCGGUAAUACGGAGGGGGCAAGCGUGAUCCGGAGUUACUGGGUGUAAAGGGAGCGCAGACGGUGAUGCAAGCCAGGCGUGAAAGCCCGGGGCCCAACCCCGGGACUACUCUUGAAACUGCGGGGCUGGAGUGCAGGAGGGGCAGGCGGAAUUCCUGGUGUAGCGGUGAAAUGCGUAGAUAUCAGGAGGAACACCAGUGGCGAAGGCGGCCUGCUGGACUGCAACUGACGUUGAGGCCCGAAAGCGUGGGGAGCAAACAGGAUUAGAUACCCUAGUAGUC